GACGAACGCUGGCGGCGUGCCUAAUACAUGCAAGUCGAGCGGACGGACGAGAAGCUUGCUUCUCUGAUGUUAGCGGCGGACGGGUGAGUAACACGUGGAUAACCUACCUAUAAGACUGGGAUAACUUCGGGAAACCGGAGCUUAUACCGGAUAAUAUUUUGAACCGCAUGGUUCAAAAGUGAAAGACGGUCUUGCUGUCACUUAUAGAUGGAUCCGGGCUGCAUUAGCUAGUUGGUAAGGUAACGGCUUACCAAGGCAACGAUGCAUAGCCGACCUGAGAGGUGGAUCGGCCACAUGGGAACGGAGACGCGGUCCAGACUCCUACGGGAGGCAGCAGUAGGGAAUCUUACGCAAUGGGCGAAAGCAUGACGGAGCAACGCCGCGUGAGUGAUGAAGGUCUUCGGAUCGUAAAACUCUGUUAUUAGGGAAGAACAUAUGUGUAAGUAACUGUGCACAUCUUGACGGUACCUAAUCAGAAAGCCACGGCUAACUACGUG
rnacentral:rRNA from 1 species